GCCACAAUCCCCACCUACAAUCCCUACCGAUUUAGGGUUAGCGCGGUGCUCACGGGAAGCUUCACCACCUCGCCCACUCUCCGCCAUCGCCGUGCGCCCCAGCACCACGAGGGCCUCCGGCUCGAGUUCAUCCACUGCCGGACAAGGUAGGUUCACCGGAUCUACUAGCCUACUCGAAUCCAAAGUUCUAUCAGGCCGCUCCCCUCGAUCCCCUCCAUCGCCUCCGCCGCCGCCGAGGUACGAGAUCGCCUCCAUCUUGUUCCUUCCCUGGCCAUGCCCCUCCCAAUUUCUUCCCCUCAUCCAGCUAGGGUUCUCACCCGCCGCCGCUUCCCUGCUGCUACCCGCCACCGGAUGCCCUCCACGGACACCACCACCAUGAUGGCAGAAGGAAGAGCAAGAGGGGUCGUCGAGGAUGGGUGUCGUCAUGAGGAUGCUGGCGCCCGUGUGCGGUGAUGGCAUUGUGGCGGAAGAAGGUCUUCUUCCUGGGGAGCCGCUACCAGCCUCCGUCUCCACCCACGGCCACGCUAACAAGACAGAUCUCAAUGCUUGCUUGCUAAUGUGUGUGUGUGGAUGUUGCUGGUUGCUGCUGCUGUGCACGUCUGCUUGGUGUGCCCCUGCUGUUUUGUGUUCUCACCACCACAUCCACGACAAAUAAAAUUUCUUAGUUUUCUUAGAAUGGUUCAGGUUCGAUAUGUCAGGGCUGAAGUACGCUCCUGAGUUAAAGAAAGACCUCGAGAGACUCUGUAGAGUAUUUGUGAUGUAUCCUUCACUUACCAUGCCACGGGGUUGUCGCGGAUAUUGGUGGAGGACUUGGUGGACUAGCGCAAAAUGGAAAUCUAGAAAGAAGUGAAACUAAUCAGCUAUGGUUUUCCUGGAGUAUUUGUGCAACCAGCAGGUCGCCCAUGAGAAAUAUGAUGUUCUUUAUGCAUUUAAAAAACUACUAAAGGGAAAGUUGUGAAUGUGUAAGUUUUGCACCAGUAGAUUCUGAAUUAUGUUGUUUAUGCUUUUAAAAGAUAUACAAUUCUUGAACCUUUUCAGAAUUAUGUAAUCAUCCCCUCAAACUCAGUGUAUUGCAGAGCGUAUGUGUCAGAGGCCAGUCGGCAGAGGUGCAUGCAGGUUUGUGCUUGAGGGUGCACGCGAGUCGGCGGCUACAGGCAGAGGGUGCGGCCUGUGUGUGCGUGUUGUGGACAGUGUUGUGGUCGCCUGAUUUGAUUGUAAAUCGUGUAGAGCAAAGGCGGCUUCUGUGGCGCUGGAGCAACAAUUUCAGUGAGCACAUUGACUUGAUGCAGGGAGGGUCGUCGAAGAGAAGGACGGCGGCCCGGCCUACACAUGAUGGAACACACAUUGCCGACGAUGCGGUACCAGGCCUGGAGAAGAGAUCCAGAGGUAUGCAUGAAGCCUUCUUAGUUAGUUUUUUAGUUGAGCGACUGCAUAACUGAAGAAUUUUGUGUGUGUAGUCUUUCAAAGUUGAUUCAUACAUAGCCUUACAAUUCAAGAGCAACGGUGUCUGAACUUUUCAAAAUUAUAUCAAUUAUUGUACUGUUUUUGGAUUGUUGAUGAGAGAUGUAGAUUUGUGAUACUGAUUGCAAUGAAAUUCGGUUCAGUAAUUCAGUGUUUAGACAUACAAGAUACUAUACUAUAGCUUAGGAUUAAAAAAAUUGGUCGCUUUGUUUCAUUCUAGAAUGCCCGCUGCAGUACUGCAUUGCCACUAUCUGCGUGAUAUCCCUGGCAAUAUUUCUGGAAAGCAUUACAAACUAUAUAAGUUUUGCCGUCACUGCUUGCCUUGCCUGUGCAGUUUCCAUUCUUCUGCAACGACAGGGAGUAUGUUAUCGGUCGCAGGGUCUAGGCAUAUGGAAAGACGUACUAUUGCGCUAAUAAGGUGUUUGAUGAAAUGCCCUCCGUCCGAAAAUACUUGUCAUCAAAAUGAAUAAAAGGAGAUCACAAUGUUGGACACGACCACCUAAGAAUUGAAUAUUUUUAGUUGGAAUACUAUUUUAAUGAUCAAUCACAAUGUUGGACGCGACCACCUACUUAUUCCCGAGACUUUAAGUCUUUGGUGGCUUAAGCACAAUAUGCCCGGCAUAUGUUCUACAUCUGCGGCAUGUAAUGACCCUACUGGCAUUUCAAGAGGUCUGUAAAUACAACACUCUUCCAAAGUAUUUCCAAGUAAGUGUUCACCUCGUGAGAUUUAUUAAAUGUUUUAGAUAUCUCGCUUGUGAAUGCUCAUCGGUAGCUAAUAUCCUGAGUAUUUUGAUAACGGGUUUAGAUCUGGACAGUUAUUGAGCCUGCAUUGAUGAAAUAGUUGACAAAGCAGGAACUGAAAUGAGGUUAUUGAGGCUGCAUUUAAGAAUCUUGGUUGAUGAGGUGAUAUCUGACCAAAAACUCAAGAACUAGAAGCAAGCCUGACAUCCUUUUUCUGUAAUCAGUAUAUUCUCGGUAGCAAGCCUGUCAUCCUUUUCUAUCCACAUGAGGCUUAGGGGCCGUUUGGAUUAGCACCAACGCCGACCCUAUCAAUUUUUUGGCACGCCCCUACGAUUUGGACCCUGUUUGGACCAUCGCCAAAAUAUUGGCUCGCCCCGAAGGCUCAGUGUUACUUCUGCCAACUCGUGGGCGCAUCCAGGGCGCCGAAAUCGGUCGCCAAAAAAUUGGCGAGCACGUCCCUCGCCGGCUGAUACGAGGUUCUCGUGUUAGUUUUUUUUAAUCUCGUAUAGUUUGAACAAUCGUGGUGUCUACUAUGCUUUUCAGAAAGGUGAGUGCAUUUGUGAAGCUUCCUGCAGAGUUUCACAUGAUGAGUAGGUAAAUGUGCUGCUUGUGCGUUUACCAAGUAGUUAUAUAGGAGAGCACACAAGCAACAGACUACAUAGCUUGUGCUAAUUUCCAUGAUAAGUUUUAUCGCAUAUGAACAAGUUAUAUUGCCAGUUAAGUUAUUAAUAGAAAUUGAGUUGCUUAUCAUUGAGUAAAAGACGUUCCUUUAGAGUAUUUAUAGUUUUAUACUAAUACUUUAUCAAGGUGAUAUGCUGAAGAUUUGUGAUUAUUACAGUAUGGCCUUUACAUUGCUUUGUUCAUGUCUAUACAUGUACUUAACUUGGAUGAGCCAUUAUCUACAAAAUAUAUUUCAUGAACUCCAUAGCAGAUAUCUCGAUUCAAAGUAAUAUAGCCAGAGAUGUUAACAUUUGUUUUUGGAAACACAAGCACUAAUUUUUUUAUUGCAUUUGAAGUAGAUAUGGUUGUAUCUUAGAGAUUGUUGCUUUGGACAGGAUUUACUAUAUUUUUGCAGCAGGCUACAUGCUUCUCUGAAUGACCAUUUAAGGAGUGAACAUGAACUGCUGAUGUAUAUGUUCCAUGCUCCAUGGGGAGGGAACAAGGAUUGAUUUUCGCCCGGAGUAGGAAGAGUAUGGUGACUUACUUCUAUGCUUUAAGGGGCUUCCAGAACUACUUGAUUGUGAAACAAGUCACUAGACUUGCCUAACAGAAGCACAAACACAAAUGGACACUCUGCAGUUGUAUCAGACACACCACCACAAGACCUGCUGUGUGCGUCACAAUUCUUAGCAGCGACCGUUACGACCGUGCAAUGCCAAGAUUGCUAGCGACAAGGAUUUGAGGAGGACAAGACGGUAGCUAUCGACAAGGAUUCAAGAAGGACCAGAUGCCACGGUGGUGGUUGUAAUAUUAGUCGAGACGAAUCUGAAAAAAUUGAGUCGAGAUGUGGAGAUAUGAUGGAUUUUGAAAAAAAAAUCCAGUAAAUUUUUGCUACAGAGAACAUAUCGGUGUGCAUGUACCGAUUGCACUUGCUUCAUGGCGCAAUACGUUUAUCCUGCUACGAAAAAUGUAUUAUUUUUUAUUAAAGAAGGGGGGUUUCAAGGCAGA